CAGAGGGUAGUUUAAAAUAAGAUGCUAGUUUUGGGGAUUAGCGAUGGGGGUUUGUUCCCUCCCCUUUGA
rnacentral:tRNA from 1 species